UAGCUGUGCACCUCAAAUCAAAUGCAUUGGAUGGAUGCCUCGGCAGAAAGGAAAAGAAGGGACGAACUAAAGCUCGAAAAGCCGUAGAACAGGUGAUGCCCUAAGACCUACGGAUCUCCCAUCGGGAAACCGCAUGCGUCGAUCAGAAACCGAAGGGUGGAAUUUUCGACAGACUACUUGGCCAACUGAAACAUCUAAGUAACCAAAGGAAAAAAAAAUCAACCGAGACUCCGUAAGUAGUGGCGAGCGAACGCGGACAUUGCUAGCUCUUAUUCAACCCCUUAAGAGGCUGAGAAGCCUUGCCAUAGAAGGUCACAGCCCUGUAAGGGUUGAAUCACUUGAAGAUUUACUAAUCUUGAAUGAGCAAAGAGCCCAUACCCGUAGGGGAUUGGAGCUCAUUUUAUUUGAGGGGGGACCACCCUCCAAGCAAAGUAAUCCUUCUGACCUAUAGUGCAAUAGUACCGCGAGGGAAAGGUGAAAAAAACUCUGGAAAGAGGGUGAAAAGAUCUGAAAUCCAAUGCAGACAAUCAGUUGAAGGCAAUUGCCAUCUUGGGCAGUGCAUGAGUGAAGGCCAGGAUUGGCUUUCAUACAUUCUCAAUUGCUUACAGCGUACCUUUUGUAUAAUGGGUCAGCGAGUCAAUCUUUACAGCAAGCUUAAGCUCUAAAGUGUAGGCGCAAUGAGAAACCAUGCCAGUUGUAAGGAUUGGACCCGAAAUCGAUUGAGCUAGCCAUGGGCAGGUUGAAGCGGCGCCCGACAGCACGUGGAAGACCGAAUUCGUUACUGUGGCAAAAGUAUGAAAUGACCUGUGGCUAGGGGUGAAAGGCCUAUCAAAAUCGAAGAUAGCUGGUUUUUUGCGAAAUCUAUUUAGGUAGAGCGUUCUUCAGCAAUAGUGUUUGUAGGGGGUAGAGCACUCGAUGGGCUAGGGUGGCCCAAAGCUUGACCGAUCCCAAGGAAACUCCGAAUACCUACAAACAAUACAGCGCCCUAUUCUUCACAGAAUAGAGGCCAUAAGCUGAAAGCAGACAGACUUUGGGUGAUAAGGUCCAAGGUCAAAAGGGAAACAGCCCAGAUCGUAUGCUAAGGUCCCAAAGCAAUCACUUAGUGGAAAAGGUGGUCGCUAGGCGAUUACAACCGGGAGGUGGGCUUGGAAGCAGCCAUCCUAUUAUGACAGCGUAACAGCUCACUGGUCUAGCUUAGCGGCGCCUAAAAUGAACCGGGGCUCAAGUGAUUCACCGAAGCAACGGAAUUGAAGCGGGGGAAGGAAUAAGAUUCUUACGAAUUGCACCGAUUUACGACCCCAUUCAAUUGGUAGCAAAACGUUCUAUAAGCCCUGCGAAGGCAACUCGUAAGAGAUGCUGGAGGCAUUAGAAGUGAGAAUGCUGACAUAAGUAACGAUUAAUAAUGUGCAAAGCAUUAUCGCCGAAAGUUCAAGGGUUUCAUUGUUCAGUCAAUCUGCAAUGAGUCAAUAAGGCCCCUAAGUUUCAUGCUGAAGAGCAUUGAUCGAUGGGUAGGCUGGAAGCGACGAAGAGAUUGCUUCGCUCCUCUCCGGGGAGUGGAGCUCUGCGCUCAAUCAUUUUUCUGAUACAGAAUACGCGGCAACCGCGCCUUGCAGGAGUGAUUUGAUUGGAGACAAUCCUUUUCCUAGAAACAACUCCAGCCACAACUAUACCUUACCCCAAACCGACACAGGUGAACAAGUAGAGAAUACUAAGGCGUUGGGGCAAUCACCUUGAAGGAACUCGGCAAAAUCACUCCGUAACUUCGGGAGAAGGAGGGCUCUCAAGAGAGAGUGGCACAGAAUAGGGGGUGGCGGCUGUUUAUUAAAAACACAGGACUCUGCAAAGUAUCGAUACGAUGUAUAGAGUCUGACACCUGCCCGGUGCUGUAAGGUGAAUAGGAGAGGUAAGUAUGCUUCGAAUGAAAGCCCCAGUAAACGGCGGCAGUAACUCUAACUGUCCUAAGGUAGCGAAAUUCCUUGACGUAUAAUUAACGUCCUGCAUGAAUGGUGUCACGACUGCCCCGCUGUCUCCAAGGUGAGCCCAGUGAAUUUGAAUUCUCCGUGAAGAUGCGGAGUACCAGCGGCUAGACGGUAAGACCCCGUGCACCUUUACUAUAGCUUUGCACUGGCCACCCCGGUAUGAUGUGUAGAAUAGGUGGGACCAUAAAAUUGGGAUCGUGAAAUACCAUCCUUUAUUCUGGGGGGGUCUAACUAUAAAAAUGUAGGACCUUGCAUAGUUGGUAGUUUCCCUGGGGAGGGGUUCUCCUAAAGAGUAACGGAGAAGUGUGAAGGUAAGCUCAAGCUGUGCUUGCGCGCAGCUGUAGAGCGUAAUGGUACAAGCUUGCCUGACUGUAAGACCUACAAGUCGAACAGAGACGAAAGUCGGCCAUAGUGAUCCGGGGGCCCCGUGUGGAAGGGCCCUCGCUCAACGAAUCAAAGGUACGCCGGGGAUAACAGGCUAAUGACCCCCAAGAGCCCAUAUCGACGGGGUCGUUUGGCACCUCGAUGUCGACUCAUCACAUCCUGGGGGUGAAGAAGCUCCCAAGGGUUCGGUUGUUCGCCGAUGAAAGUGGUACGUGAGUUGGGUUUAGAACGUCGUGAGACAGUUUGGUUCCUAUCUACCGUUGGAGGAACAUCAUAGCUGCAGGGCCUCUCCUUAAAAAGGUGGCCCAUUGUGCGCUGUUGAUGAAAAAAAGAAUUGAGAGGCGCUGCCCUUAGUACGAGAGGACCGGGGCAGGUAAACCUCUAGUGUACUGACUGUCGCACCAGCGGCAUCGCCAGGAAGCCACGUUUGCACGGGAGAACUGCUGAAAGCAUAUAAGCGGGAAACCUUUCUCUAUACAAGUUCUUAGAAUCGGUGAAAGACUCUCACCUUAAUAGGCGCAUGGUGCAAGUGCUGAAAGGCACGAAGCUUUUGCGUACUAAUCUCAACCCAUUGGAAUAGAA
rnacentral:rRNA from 1 species